rnacentral:rRNA from 1 species
AUUGAACGCUGGCGGCAGGCUUAACACAUGCAAGUCGAGCGAGCGGCGGACGGGUGAGUAAUGUCUGGGAAACUGCCUGAUGGAGGGGGAUAACUACUGGAAACGGUAGCUAAUACCGCAUACCAUCAGAUGUGGCCAGAGUGGAUUAGCUAGUAGGUGGGGUAAUGGCUCACCUAGGCGAAGAUCCCUAGCUGGUCUGAGAGGAUGAACAGCAACACUGGAACUGUGCCACGGUCCAGACUCCUACGGGAGGCAGCAGUGGGGAAUAUUGGACAAGGGGCGCAAGCCUGAUGCAGCCAGGCCGCGUGUGGGAAGAAGGCCUUCGGGUUGUAAAGCACGUUCAGCGAGGAGGCGUUACCCGCAGAAGAAGCACCGGCUAACUCCGUGCCAGCAGCCGCGGUAAUUC